rnacentral:rRNA from 1 species
UGAACGCUGGCGGACGUGCUUAACACAUGCAAGUCGAACGAGAAACGGUCUAGCUUGCUAGAUGCAGUCUAAGUGGCGCACGGGUGAGUAAUAUAUAGGUAAUAUGCCUCUUAACUAAGGGAUAACAGAUGGAAACGUCUGCUAAUACCUUAUAUGCCUUUAGGACUAAAGUCCGCAAGGGAAAGAUUUAUCGGUAAGAGAUUAGCCUGUACAGUAUCAGUUAGUUGGUGAGGUAAUGGCUCACCAAGACUAUGACACUUAACUGGUUUGAGAGGAUGAUCAGUCACACUGGAACUGAGACACGGUCCAGACUCCUACGGGAGGCAGCAGUGGGGAAUAUUGCACAAUGGACGAAAGUCUGAUGCAGCAACGCCGCGUGGAGGAUGACACAUUUCGGUGCGUAAACUCCUUUUAUAUGAGAAGAUAAUGACGGUAUCAUAUGAAUAAGCACCGGCUAACUACGUG